rnacentral:tRNA from 1 species
GGUAGAGUAUCCAAGUGGCCAAAGGAUGGGGACUGUAAAUCCCUCCGCUCACGCGUUCAUAGGUUCGACUCCUAUCUCUACCACCA